UCAGCGUGGGAGUGGGGAAGGGACAGAGCUACCAACCCCUUUCCUUUUUGUACGAGUGAGUGGAUAAAAAGGGGAGAGGCUGCCAAGAGAUGUGCUUGAGCUGGAGGAGACCGCCCUGCCAAUAGUCAGCCUCGCAUAUCACUCUGUCAAAAGAUCAUCUCCCUACCUCUCUCCCGGAAGUAACCAUCACCAUGAAUUGUUUGCAUCACACCUUUGUUUCUCAAAAAAUAGAUUUAUCACAUACGAAUAUGACAAACCUGAAGAUACACGUGAGGAGGUAGCUAGAGCCGAACAAGGGUAAAGAGGCCUGUGUUCCCAUGGAUGACUCAAGCCUGUCCAGCAGUGUUGAUGUAGACAAAGGCUUUGCCAUUGCCUUUGUUGUUCUUUUGUUUCUGUUCCUGAUUGUGAUGAUUUUUCGGUGUGCCAAGUUGGUGAAGAAUCCCUACGAGGCCAGCUCCACAACCACGGAACCAUCUCUGAGCUGAGCUAUGAGAAAGCCUGAUAGACUCCCCCUCAAAGGAGGUCUGAAAUCUUCUAUACAGAUAUUCAUGACCCAGGCUUUAUAUUAUUUCACCUCUCUAUAUGUCAGCCCUCUCAGUCUUGCAUUCCACAAUAGGCACAGAUAAUAAAAAGGAUGAAACACGAGUCAGUUUAUCUUGUUGCUAUUCAGGGAAAUGCUUACAAAACAAGACCAAGACAGGUUGAACUCACUGAUUAAAGUAAGGCCAUGGGUUUCAAUUCUCCAGUAUCAAAUAUCCUUAAGAUAAGAUAAUUGGACAUAAUUAUAUGAUGUAAUGUAAUAUGAUGCUUGGUGAGGCCCACCUAAAGCUAGAACUCCUAGAGGCAGUCUUAGAAGAUCCCUUUAGUUGUGCAAAUAUAAGGCCAGCAGGAACCAGUUGUCCUACGAUAAGAGUCUAACAGGACGUUUUUAAAAAAAAAUUUUUUUUAAUGUAUUAUUCAUUUAUUUGAGAGAGAGGGCUGGGUGGGGGGAGCAGAAGGGGAGGAAGAAAGAAUCUCAAGCAGACUCCGUGCUGAGUGAAGAGCCCUACCCUAGUCUCAGGCUCCUCAAGGGACUCAAUCCCACGACCCUGAGAUCGUGACCCCAGCCAAAACUAAGAGUCGGAGGCCCAACCGACUGAUUCGCCCAGGCGCCCCUAACAGGACUUUUUUAGUGUGUGUGGUUUUGUAAAAUCUGCUGCCCUUCUCAAGGGGGCAGAGCUCUGUGACAGAGGGGGAGUCAUUUGCCUUUAGUGAAUCCCUCAAUCUUUUUCACCCCACCAUUCCUCAUCUAUAAAAUAACAUCUAGUAGAUUGAAAAGGGACCCUCCAAAAGAUAUGUCCAUGUCCUCACCCUUGAAACCUAGGAACAAGUGACCUCAUUUGAUAAAAGGAUCUUUACA